rnacentral:rRNA from 1 species
AACGCUAGCUACAGGCUUAACACAUGCAAGUCGAGGGGCAGCAUGGUCUUAGCUUGCUAAGGCCGAUGGCGACCGGCGCACGGGUGAGUAACACGUAUCCAACCUGCCGUCUACUCUUGGACAGCCUUCUGAAAGGAAGAUUAAUACAAGAUGGCAUCAUGAGUCCGCAUGUUCACAUGAUUAAAGGUAUUCCGGUAGACGAUGGGGAUGCGUUCCAUUAGAUAGUAGGCGGGGUAACGGCCCACCUAGUCUUCGAUGGAUAGGGGUUCUGAGAGGAAGGUCCCCCACAUUGGAACUGAGACACGGUCCAAACUCCUACGGGAGGCAGCAGUGAGGAAUAUUGGUCAAUGGGCGAGAGCCUGAACCAGCCAAGUAGCGUGAAGGAUGACUGCCCUAUGGGUUGUAAACUUCUUUUAUAAAGGAAUAAAGUCGGGUAUGGAUACCUGUUUGCAUGUACUUUAUGAAUAAGGAUCGGCUAACUCCGUGCCAGCAGCCGCGGUAAUACGGAGGAUCCGAGCGUUAUCCGGAUUUAUUGGGUUUAAAGGGAGCGUAGAUGGAUGUUUAAGUCAGUUGUGAAAGUUUGCGGCUCAACCGUAAAAUUGCAGUUGAUACUGGAUAUCUUGAGUGCAGUUGAGGCAGGCGGAAUUCGUGGUGUAGCGGUGAAAUGCUUAGAUAUCACGAAGAACUCCGAUUG